GUGAAAUUUUUCUUAAAACCCUCUUUUCGGCUGGGUGCCGUGGCUCAUGCCACGUGUAAUGCCACUUUGGCUCAUGCCAAAGUGUAAUCCCAGCACUUUGGGAGGCUGACCGGGUGGAUCACCUGAGGUCAGGAGUUCGGGACCAGCCUGGCCAACAUAGAGAAACCCUGUCUCUACUGCAAAUACAAAAAUUAGCUGGGUGUGGUGGCAUGCACCUGUAAUCCCAGCUACUCGGGAGGCUGAGGCAGGAGGAUUGCUUGAACCCGGGAGGCAGAGGUUGCAGUGAGCCAAGAUCAUGCUACUGCACUCCAGCAUGGGCAACAUAGCGAGACUCCAUCUCAAAUAAAUAAAUAAAUAACCCUCUUUUCGUCCCUUCUACCCACAUAUGGCCUAAAUCCCCCUAAAUUAAUCUUAACUCCAGAGCUAAUCUAUUGAUGACUUCUGGAGAAAUAAUAUAUCUGGAGAAGGUUAAAUCCAAGGAUGUCAAAAUCUAAUAAUUAUUUAUUAAGAAACUGCUUUAAAUGAGGGCCCAGUAGUAAGCUCAUAUAACUUUCUAUGUAAUAUUAGGAUGAAAUACAGAUAGAAAUGCCAUAUUACCUGGAAGAGGAUGGUGAGGAUUAUUAAGACAUACCAUUAAGAUAAACUCAGUUUAAAGAUAUACUAGGAUCCUAACCACAUGGGAUUAGUAAAGAGAGAAAUGAAGAGAUAGAAGGAGAGAGAGAAAAGAAGAUAUAGAAUCCCUUCUAUAUAGCUAUAGAAUGGAUUGAAUGAAUUUUGGAAAACUGAUUUGGCUCUAAGGUUUAUCUUUUAGAAAGUGGUCAGUAAUUCCAUAUUCAACAUUUAGAGAAGUAUGAGUGCAUGAUUAAUCCCGACAGGUAUCAACAACCCUCGGACUUUCAUCAAAAAGGAUAAAAAUGGUAUUUAUUUAUUCAGCAAAUAUUUACCAGUGUGCAGUAGGCACUUGCUAGGGAUAUAGAAAACAAUAAUAUAGCCUUUAUUCUGAAGACCACAGUCUAGUAGGGAGGAAACACUUGACAAUCAACUUAAUACUCCUACUCCUUCAUGGUAAAUUAUACUUUUUCAUUUGAGCAAUUUCUCAGGAAUCCAUGUGGGAUUUCAGGAAGUAGGUGCUACUAAAAGUCAGAAGGAACUUGACCAUGAAUCCAUUCCUUCACAUCAGGACCCCGACUUCUGGAAUUUGAGGAAGGAAUCUUUUUUAGGGAGUAUUACCAAUGGAGCUUCAGCAACCAGGCUACAAUGCAAUGGCAUGAUCUCAGCUGCAACCUCUGUCUCCUGGGUUCAAGUGAUUCUCACGCCUCAGCCUCCUGAGUAGCUGGAACUGCAGGUGUGAGCACAUGUGCAUUUUCAGACGCCAGGGUGGACUGAGUAGACUCCUGCUCUGCUAUGGAGUACUGCAAGUAAGGGAGGGCGUAGGCCUCUUUGGGGAGGUUUCCUGGACAGAGGAAGCACCAUGGAUGGAAACUACUUCUGGAAUGGUAACCCAACAAUAGCUCCUGCGUAUUCCUAGUUUUCAAUGUGAAUGGUGCCUCCUUCUGCCAACCACACAGAGCAAUACUGCCAGCCCAAACGCACAUUCCCAAUUCCUGUGUACUACCUGCACGUGUAGUCCUGGCUGGGUGUGGUCCAGCUUUCCUCUUUUCUGCCUCAGCACAGAAAGCUGAAAGAGACAGCUUGAAGGUCAGUACAGGACCAGAAUCCAGAGGGUCCAGAUGAUCUAUUCCAACAUGUAGAACUGAAGCUGUGGAAAACAGGAGUGUGAAGCCAAAUUCCAGGCAGAUACCACUGCAAUGAAUGUUGCAAUGAAUUAUUCACUUAUUCUUUUAACAAAUAUUUCUUGAAUUCUUUCCUUUGGCAAGACACCAGGGGAGGAUGUGAUGCCCCAAGAUAAUUUAAACAAUUCCCUGAGUGCUGAAUUCCAAGCCUCAAUAAAUUGUUCACACAGACAAAUAGCAGCAGGGCUUUCUCUGAUGAAUAAAAACAGAGUAAUGUCUUUGUUUUUUAAAAAAAGAAAGAAAGAAAAAACACCUAAAUUAUAUCCGGCUUUUCUGAUGUAGCCUCAAGAUUACAUGGCAAACAAUUAUUUAACAGAAUGAGAGAACUCCAAUGGUCUCAUCCACCCUGUAUGGGCUGAUUUUAGAAGACAAUAAACAGUGACAAUUGUAAAACUUAAUGGAAUGGAAUGGAAUGAAUGAGAUGCCAAGAAACAUUCUCAGUCUUCAUUUAUUGCUCUUGCAACAGCCUUUGAGUUAGGGCCAUGUUCAUUUGUACCAGAUAUGAUGGCUGUUGACAAACUUUAACAGGAGUUUCUUAU
rnacentral:lncRNA from 1 species